GAAGCAGCGGGCUUCUGCCCGCACU
rnacentral:misc_RNA from 1 species